AACAGCUCAGGAUGAACGCUGGCGGCGUGCCUAAUACAUGCAAGUCGAGCGAACGGACGAGAAGCUUGCUUCUCUGAUGUUAGCGGCGGACGGGUGAGUAACACGUGGAUAACCUACCUAUAAGACUGGGAUAACUUCGGGAAACCGGAGCUAAUACCGGAUAAUAUUUUGAACCGCAUGGUUCAAAAGUGAAAGACGGUCUUGCUGUCACUUAUAGAUGGAUCCGCGCUGCAUUAGCUAGUUGGUAAGGUAACGGCUUACCAAGGCAACGAUGCAUAGCCGACCUGAGAGGGUGAUCGGCCACACUGGAACUGAGACACGGUCCAGACUCCUACGGGAGGCAGCAGUAGGGAAUCUUCCGCAAUGGGCGAAAGCCUGACGGAGCAACGCCGCGUGAGUGAUGAAGGUCUUCGGAUCGUAAAACUCUGUUAUUAGGGAAGAACAUAUGUGUAAGUAACUGUGCACAUCUUGACGGUACCUAAUCAGAAAGCCACGGCUAACUACGUGCCAGCAGCCGCGGUAAUACGUAGGUGGCAAGCGUUAUCCGGAAUUAUUGGGCGUAAAGCGCGCGUAGGCGGUUUUUUAAGUCUGAUGUGAAAGCCCACGGCUCAACCGUGGAGGGUCAUUGGAAACUGGAAAACUUGAGUGCAGAAGAGGAAAGUGGAAUUCCAUGUGUAGCGGUGAAAUGCGCAGAGAUAUGGAGGAACACCAGUGGCGAAGGCGACUUUCUGGUCUGUAACUGACGCUGAUGUGCGAAAGCGUGGGGAUCAAACAGGAUUAGAUACCCUGGUAGUCCACGCCGUAAACGAUGAGUGCUAAGUGUUAGGGGGUUUCCGCCCCUUAGUGCUGCAGCUAACGCAUUAAGCACUCCGCCUGGGGAGUACGACCGCAAGGUUGAAACUCAAAGGAAUUGACGGGGACCCGCACAAGCGGUGGAGCAUGUGGUUUAAUUCGAAGCAACGCGAAGAACCUUACCAAAUCUUGACAUCCUUUGACAACUCUAGAGAUAGAGCUUUCCCCUUCGGGGGACAAAGUGACAGGUGGUGCAUGGUUGUCGUCAGCUCGUGUCGUGAGAUGUUGGGUUAAGUCCCGCAACGAGCGCAACCCUUAAGCUUAGUUGCCAUCAUUAAGUUGGGCACUCUAAGUUGACUGCCGGUGACAAACCGGAGGAAGGUGGGGAUGACGUCAAAUCAUCAUGCCCCUUAUGAUUUGGGCUACACACGUGCUACAAUGGACAAUACAAAGGGCAGCGAAACCGCGAGGUCAAGCAAAUCCCAUAAAGUUGUUCUCAGUUCGGAUUGUAGUCUGCAACUCGACUACAUGAAGCUGGAAUCGCUAGUAAUCGUAGAUCAGCAUGCUACGGUGAAUACGUUCCCGGGUCUUGUACACACCGCCCGUCACACCACGAGAGUUUGUAACACCCGAAGCCGGUGGAGUAACCUUUUAGGAGCUAGCCGUCGAAGGUGGGACAAAUGAUUGGGGUGAACUAG
rnacentral:rRNA from 1 species